AUAAUAAUUAGGUUUUUAAUUGAAAUCUAGAAUGAAUGAUUGGACGAGAUACAGGCUGUUUUAUAGUAAUUAAUUAAAACUUAAUUUUUUAGUCAAAAAGCUAAAAUUUUAUUAAAAGACGAGAAGACCCUAUAAAUCUUUAUAAUAAAUUUAUUUUAAUAAAUUAUUUUAUUUAAAUUAAUUGUUUUAAUAAUAAAUUAUUUUAUUGGGGUGAUACAAAAAUUUAAUUAACUUUUUUAUUAAAAUUUCUUAAAUUAAAGAUUUAUACAAAUAUGAUCUACUAUUAGUAAUUCAGAGAAUAAGAUACUUUAGGGAUAACAGCGUAAUUUUAAUUUUAAGUUCUUAUUAAAAUUAAAGAUUGC
rnacentral:rRNA from 1 species